rnacentral:rRNA from 1 species
CACGUAGGGUGCGAGCGUUGUCCGGAAUUAUUGGGCGUAAAGAGCUCGUAGGCGGUGUGUCGCGUCGGCCGUGAAAACCUGCAGCUUAACUGUGGGCUUGCGGUCGAUACGGGCAUCACUGGAGUUCGGCAGGGGAGACUGGAAUUCCUGGUGUAGCGGUGAAAUGCGCAGAUAUCAGGAGGAACACCCGUGGGCGGAAGGCGGUUCUCUGGGACGGUA